GCCAGUGAAGAACAGAUAGAAGAAAAACAGAAAAAAAUAAAAGGAAAAAAAAAUUAAAAAAAGAAACCUUUAGAUCUCUGAGAUCAAUGUGAACUAGUAGUCUUUUGGAAAGUGAAUGUAGGCUGAUAUUUUAUUACUAUGCCUUGCUUGAAGUAUUAUCCUGCAGGCUUAAACGGAUAAUAGGACAGCUGCCCCUUUCAGAGAACAGACCUCUACAUUAUAUAUGGGGAGGGUUAAAGAUGCACAAUCAGAAUGUGAGUUCUUUUUAACUUCUUUUUCCCUUCAGUUAUUCCUUCUUUAGAAAUGGUUCUGGAAAGUGGAAAGUUAAUCUCCAUUAGCUUUUCCCCUUCUGCAGGUUUUUUUGCUAUUUUGAAUGUGAUCAGAAAAAGUAGUAGUAGUAACAUAAUCAAUCUCUGCUACUAUUUGAAUGAAGGGGGUGGGUGAAGAGAGAUGUAUAUAUAUCUAUUUGAUAUGAAGUUCUGGUGUUUACGACGACUACGUAUAGGAUUUCAGCUCGUUUUUUGUUCUUCGUUCUUCGGAAGAACCUAGCUCAGCCAUGUAAGCUAGCUGUAUUAGAAAUAUGCUUAUAUGGCCAUGGCUUCUUCUUCCUUUCUUUGUUU
rnacentral:lncRNA from 1 species